UACGGAGGAUCCAAGCGUUAUCCGGAAUUACUGGGCGUAAAGAGUUGCGUAGGUGGCAUAGUAAGCAAAUGGUGAAAGCGUGGGGCUCAACCUCAUAUCCAUCAUUUGAACUGCUAAGCUAGAGGACGAGAGAGGUAGAUGGAAUUCCCUGUGUAGGAGUGAAAUCCGUAGAUAUAGGGAGGAACACCGAUGGCGUAGGCAGUCUACUGGCUCGUUCCUGACACUAAGGCACGAAAGCGUGGGGAGCAAACUGG
rnacentral:misc_RNA from 1 species